rnacentral:rRNA from 1 species
UACGUAGGGUGCGAGCGUUAGGCGGAAUCACUGGGCUUAAAGCGUGUGUAGGCGGAUAUCUAAGUACCUUGUGAAAUCCCACGGCUCAACCGUGGAACUGCUUGGUAUACUGGGUGUCUUGAGCCAACUAGGGGCGACCGGAACAAACGGUGGAGCGGUGAAAAUGCGUAGAUAUCGUUUGGAACGCCAAUGGUGAAAACAGGUCGCUGGGGUUGU